UGUGAAUCGAGUACCAUUUCUUCAAAAAAGGUCAAGAACACACCAUGUGGAUCAGACGGUAACCAAGACUGUAGAUUCCCAGGAAAACUGAACCAGUUGCAUUUCAGUGCACUUGAAGAGGGUUGUGAGAAAGCAAGGCAGAAUGAGCUCACCUUGCCAGUGGACAGGAGACACCAUGAAAAAACCACAAUGGAAUCAGGUAUUAGCCAUGGAACUGACACA
rnacentral:lncRNA from 1 species